rnacentral:hammerhead_ribozyme from 1 species
ACUCAACUGAUGAGUCCCAAAUAGAACGAGGCGCGUAUCCUGAAU